rnacentral:misc_RNA from 1 species
AUAUAAAUGUCUUCGACUCGCAUGUUCCUCCACUCAUCUCCCAUCCUCGUUCUAUCUUUCUACGACGCCACCAAAAUCAUCGAGAUAAACACCUGUUCACCACGGCACCCCCCACCCCACUGAUCAGUGACACUGUACCAUUCUUCUUUUUACCUCGCCGGAGGGAUCACCUGACAACUGUCACUGCCACUACCUCAGUCAAAUCCCAAUAUCGCCUCUGAUUUUUGCCUUAUUUCUUUGAAGUCUUUUGCUGCAAAAUCUUCGUAUUUUCCUCUUAACUUCUUCGCAUUCAGUCUUCUAUGGUGAGUUUUCUCUGAUUUUGAGCAAUCUAAGUGGACCUGUGCCACGUGCAACCCCGGCAAUCUGGUCACUGCCAUCCAAAUGGGCGGCCGGAACCUGGAAGUCAACCUCUUGUUUCUACCUUCUGCUCCUCUCUUAUAGCUUCUAACAGUGAAGAACCCUAAACCCAACAUCAUAAUCAUCACAGGUCCAUGAUCCCUGAUUGCGACAAUGGCUAACUCUUCAAUUACUGAUUCCUUUUUUCUUUCUGCAUGACCAAUGGUUGCACAUGAACUGCACAUGCCUCAGUAUUUCCAGGAUUCAGCUAGAUCAUCAUCUUCUUCUACCUCUCAAUAACAAUAGCUUAGGCUUACCGAAUUUCAGGUUACAUGGAAAUCGACAAAGCAAUCAAAGAAAGUGAUGAUAGAAGGCUCAAAACGAAGUAUAAUAAUGCCAUCUAUGUUAUUCAAAGAGCUCUUGCUUUAUACUCAAUUGAAGAGCUUGCCUUCAGCUUCAAUGGAGGGAAGGAUUCAACAGUCGGUUUUUCGUCUACAUUUUCUUGACUACUCCUACUAUUAUCUUGUCUCAUUGAUGGUGAGAUUAAACUUGGAUUUGUAGGUUUUGCUGCACCUGCUUAGGGCUGGCUAUUUUUUGCAUAAAGGGGGACAAAGCUGUUCUGAUAGGGAUCUGACUAGUUUUCCAAUUCGCACAAUAUAUUUUGAAAGUGGUUCCGCCUUCCCUGAAAUCAGUUCAUUUACCUAUGAUACAGCCUCGAGCUAUGGUUUGCAACUGGAUAUCAUUAGCUCAGAUUUCAAAUCUGGAUUGGAAAAUCUUCUAAAGGCUAAUCCUAUCAAAGCUAUUUUCCUUGGUGUUCGAAUUGGUGACCCUACUGCAGUAUGUUUCAUUCUCUUUCUUGAUGAGGGAUGCCUUGGUUGUAUAAUAUCACUAAGUUCCUUUUUUAUGGAAGAGAGCUUCAUGUUUGAGACUGUAUUAUAACAAAGUGCUUUAUCUUUGCAGUUAGGCCAAGAACAGUUCUCCCCUAGUUCACCUGGGUGGCCACCUUUUAUGAGAGUGAAUCCCAUCUUGGAUUGGUCUUAUAGGUCUAGUCAUGCACCAUAAGUUAUCUUGUGAUGCCUUCUUUUUUUUCUUCUCCUUAUUUGUCAUUUUUGGUGAAUUUACCAACAUGAACUUCCUUAGGAUUUUGGAUAAAAUUCUGGAAAUAAACGUUGAUUCUUGGUUUUUAACUUUUGCUAAUGAUAACUGAACUCCGAGUAAAUGUAUUAACAUAAUAUGACCUUUUGUUUUAGCUUCUAUUAUCAUGGACUUGGUAGUCACACUAUUUUUGCAUGGAUUGCUAAAUAUUAUUUAAAAUACAGGAGGCAGGAGGAAGGCUCUCUGUGCAAGUGUUAAAAUUUUGGGCUGAUUUCCUCUCAUUAUUCUUGAUAUACUAUAAGUACAACAUUAUUAUACUUUCUUUUUGCUUUUAAAUUUUCUCUUAACAUCUGAAAAAACAAUGGCCCUCUUUUUUUUUUGGUCAAUGCAGACUUCUUCCAAAUUCCUGUUAGUUUUAAAUUUUAUGCCUGUUAUUAGUCCACAUCUUUAAUUUGUGGUCAUUCGUGAAUUAAGUAUUUGUUUGAUGAAUCCAGAACGCCUCUAUAUGCCACCAAGUGUCAUGCUAAGAUUGAUAAUUUCAGCUGGUUUGGCCUAUAUAUGUUUUACUUUCUAACAACUCUCAUGUUGAUUGAAUUUUGCUAUGUAUUGAAGAAGGGCAAAUUUGGGGUUCUGACUUGUUCAUUUUUGCAGAGAUGUUUGGGCCUUUAUUCUGACCUGCAAAGUUGAGUACUGUAAGCUUUAUGAUCAAGGAUACACUUCAAUAGGGAGCGUACAUGACACAGUACCAAAUUCACUGC